rnacentral:rRNA from 1 species
UUGAACGCUGGCGGCAGGCCUAACACAUGCAAGUCGAGCGGAUGAAGGGAGCUUGCUCCUGGAUUCAGCGGCGGACGUGUGAGUAAUGCCUAGGAAUCUGCCUGGUAGUGGGGGAUAACGUCCGGAAACGGGCGCUAAUACCGCAUACGUCCUGAGGGAGAAAGUGGGGGAUCUUCGGACCUCACGCUAUCAGAUGAGCCUAGGUCGGAUUAGCUAGUUGGUGGGGUAAAGGCCUACCAAGGCGACGAUCCGUAACUGGUCUGAGAGGAUGAUCAGUCACACUGGAACUGAGACACGGUCCAGACUCCUACGGGAGGCAGCAGUGGGGAAUAUUGGACAAUGGGCGAAAGCCUGAUCCAGCCAUGCCGCGUGUGUGAAGAAGGUCUUCGGAUUGUAAAGCACUUUAAGUUGGGAGGAAGGGCAGUAAGUUAAUACCUUGCUGUUUUGACGUUACCAACAGAAUAAGCACCGGCUAACUUCGUG